rnacentral:tRNA from 1 species
GCCUCGAUGGCUCAAUGGAUAGAGCAACAGCCUUCUAAGCUGUGGGUUGCAGGUUCGAGUCCUGCUCGAGGUG